rnacentral:rRNA from 1 species
UGGCGGCGGCUUACACAUGCAAGUCGAGCGGAAACGAUGAUAGCUUGCUAUCAGGCGUCGAGCGGCGGACGGGUGAGUAAUACUUAGGAAUCUACCUAGUAGUGGGGGAUAGCACGGGGAAACUCGUAUUAAUACCGCAUACGACCUACGGGAGAAAGGGGGCAGUUUACUGCUCUCGCUAUUAGAUGAGCCUAAGUCGGAUUAGCUAGAUGGUGGGGUAAAGGCCUACCAUGGCGACGAUCUGUAGCUGGUCUGAGAGGAUGAUCAGCCACACCGGGACUGAGACACGGCCCGGACUCCUACGGGAGGCAGCAGUGGGGAAUAUUGGACAAUGGGGGAAACCCUGAUCCAGCCAUGCCGCGUGUGUGAAGAAGGCCUUUUGGUUGUAAAGCACUUUAAGCAGUGAAGAAGACUCCAUGGUUAAUACCCAUGGACGAUGACAUUAGCUGCAGAAUAAGCACCGGCAAACUCUGUGCCAGCAGCCGCGGUAAU